UACGUAGGGUGCGAGCGUUGUCCGGAAUUAUUGGGCGUAAAGCGCUUGUAGGUGGUUUGUCGCGUCUGCUGUGAAAAUCCGAGGCUCAACCUCGGACUUGCAGUGGAUACGGGCAGACUAGAGUGCUGUAGGGGAGACUGGAAUUCCUGGUGUAGCGGUGAAAUGCGUAGAUAUCUGGAAGAACACCAAUGGCGAAGGCAAUGUUCUGGCUCGUUUCUGACGCUCAGGCGCGAAAGCCAGGGGAGCGAACGGG
rnacentral:rRNA from 1 species